AUUGGAGUACAGAUACCAGCGGCGUCGUCGUUGGUUGUGGAGCUUCAAGUUGGGGGCUCAGCGUCGUCGGCGACGACUGCGGUGCACAGAGCGACGCAAUUUUAGGGGCACUUUGGGCUUCACCCAUGUGCUGCAGGAGCUGCAAUUAGGUCGAAAUCUGGCCAUCUGUGUCGGAAUUCGUGAUCAUAAUAGUGUGUAGCGGAUACUGCACUGAGUUUUCGGCAGCGAGCUUCAGAGGUCGUGAGUCGCGAGAGCAUUCGAAUCCUGGGAUUUCUUCGCUCGCGGACCAAUUCGGUGCAGGUGGUAGGAACCUUGUCGUGUUCCUCAGCCAUUGCGACAAGAGCCUAAUUGCUCAGAUUUUUCGAUGAUCUGGAUUGAUUUUUUCUUCCCUAGGGUUUUUUUUUUUUUUUUUUUUUUUUUUUUUUGUUAAAUUGGUGAGGUUCGCCCAUCCGCAGUUUGCUUGAUAACGAUUGGCUUCUGAACUUUUCGUGAUCGGAGAGCUUUUUUGUAGUGAUUUGAAAGCUCUUGAUGAUCAAUUCCUGUGAAUUCGUUACAGAGAGACUAGGUCCUGACUGUCUAGUGUUUGGGCAAUCGAACAAUGAUUCUGGUCAAGUUUUUUCUGCCAUAGAGGCUGUGUCCAGGAAUUUUGGCAGCAAUUGUUGCGUCUAAAAGGUGCCAUUGUUCUCUGUCAGGCUUAAUGGUGUGUAUAUCUACCGGUCUCGGACAGUCAAAAAAGCGUACCCUGGGAAUACUGCUCAGACUUCUUAGAUUCGAUUUUUAUGAUUUACGCUGCGUGUUGAACUUUCAAGGCAAGGUUGCGUGAACUGGAUGUAGCUUUACUCGAUUUCUCUUGCACAUAGAUCGAUAUAGUCCUUGAGGAAUUUUUCACACGUAAGUCUCAAUGUAAGCACGUAGUAUUUGGAACACUGUGCAGUUGUCGCUAACUUCCAAAUUUCCCGUGGAGAAAUGUGGUGCUCGUGGCAUUGCUACUCUAGGCUGGGAUUCGUUUUAGAUUUGACGGCUCACUGAUUACCGCACUACCUGGACUCAAACUAUUCUAGAACGAGCUCCGUGCUUUUUUGCAGUCCUUUCUGGCUCUUUAAAAAAACCAGUCUUAUUUUAUUUUACUGUAUUUUAUAUUAGUGUCAAUUGAAUAACCAUCUUCCAGUCUGCUUUCAUAUGAAUCCAGAUAUAUGUUAAACACGUUUAGAACUGGACGUGCAGGGACUUCGCAUCGGCAGUGAUCCUCUUUACGCUACAUUAGGUUGGCUUUCGGUACUUUCUUUACUGCGCUUUAUUUUGAUAAAACACAUAUAAACUUGUGGCAACAGGUUUCCCGUAUUUUGGUGGUCAGUAGGAAUUCAAACCGGUUUACAAAUGGCUAUGGCAGCCCCAGCCGAGGGCUCUCCGGGGACGUAGAUGACGAUUGUCAGCUUCAAGGACCAAAUGUGGCUUAGCUCUUAUCGUUUAGAUCGAAACCAGGUGUUUGAUUACUUCGCAUUAUCUCCAUUUUAUGACCGUACUUGUAAUAAGGAGCCAGCUGAGAAUGGAGGCUAUUCAUCCUUUGGACAUGCUCUGUCUCUCGAGACACUGCCAAUGUCUUGAAAAAAGUUUCGACUUCAGCUGCGUAUUAUGUUCUAGGUGGUUCUAUUUAUCAGGUACCUCAGCUUUACAACGUGAUUGGUCACCUGUUGUAAGUUCUUGUCAUGAAAGUUCCAAUCGGCUGUAAAUUAGUGUUACAAUACCGUGGAGUUACAGACGAUGGCCUUUGUAGAUGCGGUUUCUGUACCAUAUUUCGAACGCAUUUGCGCAAGCCUCCGCAAAUCUGGAGAAGAUUGGAUCCGGUAAGCCUACCGCACGAGUCUAAUACUGAUGUAUAGGCAGGAAGUCUAGUAAAAUUUAUUGCGUAUGUCAAAGAAGGGUAUCAUUCAACUGAAGCAAAAGAAUGUGGGUAUUGAAUACUUGGAUACAAUCAGUAAUUAGUUCUGCUAUUCCAUACCCGUAAAAUUACUGUUGUAGCAAUAAUCACAUCCAUACGAUGAAAUAAUGUAUUGAAGAUAAGAUUCUGGAUUGUCACUUCGUAACCUAGGAGUAGUUGACACAUCAGUUUUAGCCUGAUUUAUUCGUGUUCUUAUGUUCUCCGCUGUAACCCUUCGUUCCUGUAGAAUGUUUUCAUUCCCAACGAUGCAACACGAUUUGAAGAAGGAAACGUAGUCCGAGUUGGUGUUUUCACAGGUACGGAUAGUGAAACUGGGAAGGCAGGUGGCGACGCUGAUGCUGCCGACGUACAAUUAAAGAAACCAACAACGAAGGUGGUUGACGUCAAGGAAGUCAUGCAUGUGGAUUCAAUUCUUGCUGGUGUCAUGCCCCCCACCUGCUCCUUCUCGUCCUGCACCACUGGUUCCGGUGAACAACACAUCUCCCCAAAUAGAGACUGCUCAGGCACUGGCAGCUCCAGAUGCCGAGCAAGAGCAGAUUUCAGUCGGAGCAAAGCAAUCAAACACUGAAGGUGAGCCCGCAAAGAGACUACAGAUGGAAAGAUUAUUAAGCGGUCUCCAGUUAUGAGACUGGUACUCGAUGCAAGCUCGAUUCCACUGUGCAUCAUCGUCUACUUCCAGUUAAUUCAUGAUGAGGAUCCUAUCCGUGAAUCUGUUUUGCUUGAUAGCAGCCACAAUCCAACCGAACCGUCUCCAAACACUCGAUUGCAAUUUGUUUUAGUUCCACGCCAACAGCUUUCACAUUUUUGAGAUGGAGAUACCUCAACUCAGUCCUUCAACGCUGACAAUGGCCACGGAGCCCCACAGAUUAGACCGUAGCAAGGACGAAGGAGUGUUACUUACUGCACUGUCUGUGGAGCCGGACUGCGAUGUGAUUUGCUGUGAUCUUAAAAGACUGCUUACUUGCAGGAGGUGGUUGUGAUGGAGUUCUGUUGAGGGUGAGAACCAUCAUGGACAGCAUCACAUCGCUUGGUGUCUAGUUCACAGUUUUUAGAGGGUGAUCAAAACUUCAAUUGUCUUCAAGUUUGCAAGCCAGCAUCAGUGUUCCACCAUUCCUCAACAAAUCCUGAAGUCAACUAGUUGACUACUACACAGCAUUGGACUCCACAGCCUCUCCAAGUAGCAACUCUUGGGAGGAACAAACUCUGUAAUGCCAUCGAAAAGUUGCGUUUUACAGCCUGGUCUGUCAUCUAACUCGUCUAAUCAAGCAGCGUUUCAUACGUACAACAGAACGCGGUACUAGGUGCUCAAUCUUGGCCUUAGGUACUGCUACCCACCUCACUCCCGUACCCGACGGGACGCCUUUUCACACCGCAAUCACUGUCCACGGAAAGAUCCUCAGUGUUUUGCGGCCAGCGAUGCGGCCCUCUCACCAGCCCCACCGUAUCACGUAGUUCGUCCCUGUAUCGUACAUUCUUCGCAGCAAACCCCUCUAAUUACCCCAAUUUGUCAAAUUUGUGAAAAGAAAAGAGACCCACAAACCUGAAAUCUUAACCAACACAGCGAAACUGACACAAAGUUUUGAUGACCCGAAGGGUUCGGUGACGAUUUUUUUUGUUUUGUUUAGUUUAGUUUUGUUUUGUUUUUUUUCUGCUCUUGUGGAGCUUUUCACUCACCGCUGCAUGUGCUGUCGAUGUGAUGUAUCGAAAGAAUGCUCAAGCUGGCCAGGAAGGUCUCACCAAUGUGGUCGUCGCGGAGCAGACACCAGGUGGCACAAUUACGGCAGCCUGCAGAAUCCAUGGGGUUGAAAUUAUCAACCCAUGAUUUUAGGAAACGAAGCAUAAUUAGGAUCGUGUCCUGGUUAUCGUCAAGUUAGUAUUCAGGAAUCAGAACCCUCGGCAAGCUGACAACGUCGACUCAGGCAACCAUUCAAAGAUUCUGAAGAAAGUAUACGAUAACAAUGGAUUUCCUGAGAAGAUGGCUCCUAAGUUAGUGAGUUCUUUAUUCAAGUAAUUGGGCAACCGUGUCGGUGGAAGGCAGCAGCUCUGAGAGGUCACCGAGAGUCUUACUUCGUGGAACAGCAUUCUUUGGCGUUACAUUAUCAUAGGACUGUGUUUUGUUGCUUUCUAUGCUGUAUGGAUAGGGUGCGUGGAAUUCUUCACCUCUUGUACUCACGACAAACUAUACAGGUUUCGUGCAAAAAUGAUAGUUGACUCAGGUUCAUAGCGUGUGCAGUGACAAAAGAUGAGCAUUGUCGAGGCAUAUAAUACGUUUGAAGGAUUACCUCAAUCUUUAAUGUAGCUUCCCCCACUAGUACCUUGAAUACAGUUUUAAAGCUGCCAAAGAGCGGAUAAGUGUUUUGCAAUUCUUAACCUAGUCAAUUUGAGGAGUAGAAAUUAGGAACUUCCUUCUGGAGGAAAGAUUUGGAAGGGUACUAGAGCUGCAUUUUUCUCUUGCUGAAAUUUGAUAUACUUGCUAAUCAGAACACACAAUUGUGUCAGCGAAAGAACUCACAUAGUGCGUUUGCGUGUAGUUGAACAUGAGUGUUGCCAUCUUGCCAAUGUCAGCGGACUUUCAGUGGAGCCCUACAACCGCCGGCUUGGUCCAAUAUUUCUUUUUCCCGGGGCUAUCUUCGUGCUCGGGUAUUAUUCAUUCACGUUUUUCCUUUGCUGCUUCAAGCUUUAUUCAAAAAAGAAAAUGAUUUAGGCUCGAUCCCCCAGGCCAAGUACUACAAGCCCAGCCCAGGAGCACUACAUUUCAGGUUGAAGUAACGUUUUGAUUGGGAUCCAAUUCCUUUUCCGCAACUGCAGCUCUUCAGGGUUGCUAUUUGUGCUUGCUGCGAGCUGAUAUGGUGUGGAUCAAGACUCAUGAAUGCAUUCGCAGCUCGAGAAAGCUAGGACCCACAAUGGAGAUAUACCGGACACUGCAGUUUCCAAUUUCAGAUUUAAGCUAGAUUAAGAAGAUAAAUCACUGAACGACUGCGUGGCAACAUUGCCAUUGGUGAUGAGGGUUGGUUUUGUGCUGUCACAUCUACAUGGUUUGUGGGAGUAUUGAAACCACAAAUAUGCGCCACCUGAAGUCUGCACCAGGGCAUGUUUGAAAGACCUUCCAAGCCUAAAGAGAUGAAUUCUCAGACGAGCCCUCACACCCUUUCUCUUUAGCCUCCCUCUUUGAUGCAACAAGCCCUUCAAUACAUCUGGUCGUUUCACAAAGGGAUGCUAGUAUCCACAAUCUCGUGAUGGUCAGCCGCUUGAAGCCAAGGUCAGGAUACUCAUACUGCUCCGGAGUGUGCUGAAACCAUUCAUAUUCAUAGAAUCGUCUGGUUCAACAUGAUUUGUACUGGCAAGUUAGCUACAAGAUACGAUAACCGUUCUCGCUAAAUGGUGGAGGAAUCUGGGCAGCUCAAAUCGGUGGGAGGCAAGUGCUUGGCUUUGGUGUGACAUGGUGAUCAGUUGCAAACAUGCUUAAACUUGGGCUCCCCCCUCUUCAUUUUGUUCGAGCCUACAUGGGUAUCGAAGAGGGUAUACGUUUUGAUUUUAAGGAAUUCCAUCUCGUAUUCAAAACUGAGUGAUGCUGCUCACCUUGGUGAUCAAAAGCAAGUUUGACACGGGCAUGUGAAUCAUGCAAUGAGUUUAGACAACAUUAGUAGUAAUCCACUGAUCAUCAGCUUUAGUGUACAGUGGAAAGUAUUUUGGGGUCAUUGACAGGACUGGCAUUCCCCCUGUGGUCUGAUGCACAAAUUUAACGGGCCAUAGACUUUCUUUUUCAUGCGGAUCCCUGGGAGCAAUUUGGUUUGUCACCUGACAGAAAAUUGUAAGUUGGUUGGACUUGCUUUAUCUCUGAAUUAGACCUAGAAAUUUUAGAUAUCCUCUAUCUGGAUGUUCUAGUUUUAGAACAAAGAAGUGUAUUGUUCUAUUCCAUCAUGUAGGGCUUUCAGGUUCACAGUUUUGUCUUCUAGUUACGUUAUUUGUGUGGCUUAGUGUCAGUGUGUUCUAGAUGUUCUGUGGGGAUACUGUUGAAAUCCCUGCCAUUUUGUUCAUCCUUCGCUCCUCAUCGAUCUUUGUUUAUUUUAUACAUUAUUUUGUUUUUGUUGUUAUGUGCA